UCCGUAGGUGAACCUGCGGAAGGAUCAUUACAAUUCAGUAGCUUGCUACUGUGAGGAGGUGCUGUUAGUCCGCAUAGUUUAAUUACUGAUGAGCGGCAGGCCCUCUGUCUGUACCCUUGUCUUUUGCGCACCCAUGUUUCCUCGGCGGGCUUGCUCGCCGACUGGACAAAACUAUAACCUUUUUAAUUUUCAAUCAGCGUCUGAAAAAACUUAAUAAUUACAACUUUCAACUCCGUAGGUGAACCUGCGGAAGGAUCAUUACCUUUCAAUGCAGCAGAAUUGGGAUGGUUGAGUAUCUCGCCUUCCAAUUCUGCCUGUAUUCCACCCUUGUUUGUCAUACUAUUAUUUCCUCGGCAGGCUUGCCUGCCGAGUGAAACCAAUUAUAACCUAUUUAAUUUUCAAUCAGCGUCUGAAAAAAAUUUAAUAAUUACAACUUCAACAACGGAUCUCUUGGUUCUGCAUCGAUGAAGAACGCAGCGAAAUGCGAUAAGUAGUGUGAAUUGCAGAAUUCAGUGAAUCAUCGGAAUCUUUGGAACGGCACAUUGGCGGCCCGGGCCCAGGCACUCUGGGCGGGGCAUGCCUGGUUCGGAGGCGGUCAUUUCAACCAUCAAGGCCCCAGGGGGCUUGCGUUGGAGCCCUGCGGCUGCCGCAGCCUCCUAAAAGCAGUGGCGGGCUCGCUAUCACACCGAGUGCAGUAGAUUACUCUUCGCUCAGGGCGUGCAGCGGGUUCCGGCCGUGAAACCCCCUACUUUAAAGGUUGACCUCGGAUCAGGUAGGAAUACCCGCUG
rnacentral:rRNA from 1 species